rnacentral:rRNA from 1 species
CAAUAGCGUAUAUUAAAGUUGUUGCGGUUAAAAAGCUCGUAGUUGGAUUUCUGCUGAGAACGACCGGUCCGCCCUCUGGGUGUGUAUCUGGCUCUUUCUUGGCAUCUUCUUGGUGAACGUUGCUGCACUUGACUGUGUGGAGCGCUACCCAGGACUUUUACUUUGAGGAAAUUAGAGUGUUUCAAGCAGGCAUACGCCUUGAAUACAUUAGCAUGGAAUAAUAAGAUAGGACCUCGGUUCUAUUUUGUUGGUUUCUAGAGCUGAGGUAAUGAUUAAUAGGGAUAGUUGGGGGCAUUCGUAUUUAACUGUCGGAGGUGAAAUUCUUGGAUUUGUUAAAGACGGACUACUGCGAAAGCAUUUGCCAAGGAUGUUUNCAUUGA